ACCUGGGUGGCGUGAUGGUUCAGCAUUCAGCUACUAAUUGAAAGGUUGGUGGUUUGAAUCCACCCUGAGGUG
rnacentral:tRNA from 1 species